UACGUAGGGGGCUAGCGUUGUCCGGAAUCAUUGGGCGUAAAGCGCGUGUAGGCGGCCCGGUAAGUCCGCUGUGAAAGUCGGGGGCUCAACCCUCGAAAGCCGGUGGAUACUGUCGGGCUAGAGUCCGGAAGAGGCGAGUGGAAUUCCUGGUGUAGCGGUGGAAUGCGCAGAUAUCAGGAGGAACACCGAUAGCGAAGGCAGCUCGCUGGGACGGUACUGACGCUGAGGUGCGAAAGCGUGGGGAGCGAACAGG
rnacentral:rRNA from 1 species